GCUCUGUGUUGGCCUGUAUAAGUUAUUUUGGGCAUAUUUGACUACACAAGGUUCUAUGCGCCACCUACUGGAACAUUUGUAUAUCUUUAGUGUUCCCUUCUGUAGAUACACUAUGAUCAGUCACAACAUUAAAGGGACACUAUAGUCACCCAGACCACUUCAGCUCAAUGACCCCUGCGGCCGGGUGCCCCCCGUCAUGUUUUGCGGCACCGGGCCGCCGUUCAAUGGGUCCAUCUGGUGGCCCAUGCUGUUAGGGCCACCCGAUGGGUAUGGAUUUUCAGGAGGUCCGG